GGGGAUGUAGCUUGGUGGUAGAGCACUUGCUUUAGCAUGCACGAGGCCCUGGGUUUAAUCCUCAGCACCACUA
rnacentral:tRNA from 1 species